UGCUCACACACACCUGACAGGCGAGAACGGGAGACCCAGGCACGACGGCACGGCGUCAGGGAAACGCCGAGCCUUGGGGUGAAGCCGAAACGCACGGACGGUGCGCGGCCGGGCAGCUUCUGGAGCCCGAACCCGACAGGGACAACUUUCGUAGGCGGUUCCGGAAGGGCUU
rnacentral:sRNA from 1 species